AGUAAAUGCACAGAAUUUAGCGAGCAUCUCUUGGCUACCAGACGCAAUUUUAGGUCUUGGGAACACAGCUGUGAACAGGAUAAAAGGAACCUGUUCUUUGUUUUUUGAGCUUACAUCCAAUGAGAUGGGGAAAAGAGAGCUCAAGGGGGAGAUUUUUAACAAAGAAAGAUAUGGGAGAGAGCCUUGGGGAUUUAUGGGUGGAUGUUCCACUCCGAGUAAAGAAUUAGUGCCAAAGUCCGGAGCUGGAGCGUUGAAGGCCCUGGGGACCAAACCAAUGCGAUGGAGGUGGGGGCGGGGGUGGCAGUUGACCGAGGGCUUUGCAGGCUGGAGGAAGGACCUAGCAGACUACUAGAAGGCCUGCCUUUGGGAAGGAACAGCGUGGGACAGGCAAAGCUGCUACGGGCUAUGGCUACUCAGAUUUGUGAAGAAGGCCAGAAUCCGUCCCUUGAAAGCAGCUACUCUCUUGGUGCCUCUGCCUUCCUCCACAGCCAAGUUGGUCUCACCAGGAACAGCCUUUGCUGUGUUCCUGCACAGCCUAAGGAUUCUUUUAAGGGUUCUAUCAUCUACCUUCCUGGCGCCCCCAACUGGCUGUCGUGUAGUUUUUCCAACACUGAACUUUACCCCUGCCUAUGCUUUUUUAAAAAUAUAUAUAUUUAUUUAGCUGCAUCCUGUCUUAGUUGUGGCAUGUGGAAUCUAGUUCCCUGACCAGGGAUCCCACCACGGCUCUCCUGUAUUGGGAACACAAGAGUUUUAGCCACUGGACCACCAGGGAAGUCCCUACCCAUGCGUUUUGUUUCUCCUGUGAUGGUGGAAGAUCCUUGCCUUCACCCAUCUUAGUAUCCAGCUUGCUGCCCACAACUUGGGCCAUGACUAAGCCUCCUUGGGUACUCAGCACAAUGGAGAGGUGAGUGAUUCUAUGGUCAUCUCUGUGGAAUGUGAUGUGUUACACAAAAUUUCCUCUGUCCUCAAGAACACUUGCUCCUCCACCUCCUACCUCUGCUCUCCAAAGACACCCUCACUCAAUCACAUUAUUAUAUUUUUUUCCCCCUUGAAAAACCUCAUUUGGCUCUUUCUUGAAUUUUGUCCAGGGUACCCCUGUGGAAUCUGCAUCCUUGAGGCAGGGUGCCAGGAAACGAGGUUUAAAAGAAGCCUGUAAGGAGAGUUGGGGAGAAGAGUAGCAGGUCUGCUGAUAACAGGAGCCUUGUGGCAUCUCCUCCUAUACUUCCCACAUGCACAGCUUGAAGAGUCAAGACGAACUCUAACUCAUGGGAUGAACAAAAUGGAAGAUGUAAAUAAGGGAAAUGGGCCCCACUGAAGGCAGGAAAGUAACUCCAGACUUAUUAGGCAGGAGUGGGACACAUUUGGCGAAUUAUCUGGACCAUGUUCGCCAGCUGCAAGUUGGGACGAAAGCUGCGACGCUUAAAGCUCUUUCGGCAUUGGGGGCAGGUGAACUGCCGUGGAGGGGCUGGAGGCGGGGCCAGCUGGGUCACACACCCUCGGCAAAAGUUAUGACCACAGCCGAUGGACACAGGAUCCUUGAAGUAGUCCAGGCAGAUGGCACACACGGCUUCCUCCUGAAGUGUCUGCAAGGGAUUAGGAGCAGUGGCAC